rnacentral:rRNA from 1 species
CCUACGGGUGGCAGCAGUGAGGAAUAUUGGUCAAUGGACGAGAGUCUGCACCAGCCAAGUAGCGUGAAGGAUGACUGCCCUAUGGGUUGUAAACUUCUUUUAUCUGGGAAUAAAAUGUUCCACGUGUGGGAUUUUGUAUGUACCAUAUGAAUAAGGAUCGGCUAACUCCGUGCCAGCAGCCGCGGUAAUACGGGGGAUCCGAGCGUUAUCCGGAUUUAUUGGUGUUAAAGGGAGCGUAGGUGGAUUGUUAAGUCAGUUGUGAAAGUUUGCGGCUCAACCGUAAACUGGCAGUUGAAACUGGCAGUCUUGAGUACAGUAGAGGUGGGCGGAAUGCGUGGUGUAGCGGUGAAAUGCUUAGAUAUCACGAAGAACUCCGAUUGCGAAGGCAGCUCACUGGACUGCAACUGACACUGAGGCUCGAAAGUGUGGGUAGCAAACAGGAUUAGAUGCCCUUGUAGGC